CCCUUAGAUGUUCUGGGCUGCACGCGUGCUACACUGAUAUUGCCAAUAUGUAAUUCUUAUCCGAAAUGGAUUGGGUAAUCAAGUAAUGAAAUUUCAUGCUUGGAAUCGGUAAUUGCAAUUUUAUCGUGAACGAGGAAUUCCUAGUAAGCACUAGUCAUCAGCUAAUGUUGAUUAUGUCCCUGCCCUUUGUACACACCGCCCGUCGCUACUACUGAUUGGGUGUUCAAGUGAGAUGCUUAGACCCUUGUUGCAUGGUUCAUUAUUGUGCUCCGAAAGGAAAAAGUUUCAAGCUUGAGUGUCUAGAGGAAGUAAAAGUCGUAACA
rnacentral:rRNA from 1 species